CGCUGGCGGCGUGCUUAACACAUGCAAGUCGAACGGAAAGGCCCUGCUUUUGUGGGGUGCUCGAGUGGCGAACGGGUGAGUAACACGUGAGUAACCUGCCCUUGACUUUGGGAUAACUUCAGGAAACUGGGGCUAAUACCGGAUAGGAGCUCCUGCUGCAUGGUGGGGGUUGGAAAGUUUCGGCGGUUGGGGAUGGACUCGCGGCUUAUCAGCUUGUUGGUGGGGUAGUGGCUUACCAAGGCUUUGACGGGUAGCCGGCCUGAGAGGGUGACCGGCCACAUUGGGACUGAGAUACGGCCCAGACUCCUACGGGAGGCAGCAGUGGGGAAUAUUGCACAAUGGGCGGAAGCCUGAUGCAGCAACGCCGCGUGCGGGAUGACGGCCUUCGGGUUGUAAACCGCUUUCGCCUGUGACGAAGCGUGAGUGACGGUAAUGGGUAAAGAAGCACCGGCUAACUACGUGCCAGCAGCCGCGGUGAUACGUAGGGUGCGAGCGUUGUCCGGAUUUAUUGGGCGUAAAGGGCUCGUAGGUGGUUGAUCGCGUCGGAAGUGUAAUCUUGGGGCUUAACCCUGAGCGUGCUUUCGAUACGGGUUGACUUGAGGAAGGUAGGGGAGAAUGGAAUUCCUGGUGGAGCGGUGGAAUGCGCAGAUAUCAGGAGGAACACCAGUGGCGAAGGCGGUUCUCUGGGGCCUUUCCUGACGCUGAGGAGCGAAAGCGUGGGGAGCGAACAGGCUUAGAUACCCUGGUAGUCCACGCUGUAAACGGUGGGUACUAGGUGUGGGGUCCAUUCCACGGGUUCCGUGCCGUAGCUAACGCUUUAAGUACCCCGCCUGGGGAGUACGGCCGCAAGGCUAAAACUCAAAGGAAUUGACGGGGCCCCGCACAAGCGGCGGAGCAUGCGGAUUAAUUCGAUGCAACGCGUAGAACCUUACCUGGGUUUGACAUGGAUCGGGAGUGCUCAGAGAUGGGUGUGCCUCUUUUGGGGUCGGUUCACAGGUGGUGCAUGGCUGUCGUCAGCUCGUGUCGUGAGAUGUUGGGUUAAGUCCCGCAACGAGCGCAACCCUUGUUCACUGUUGCCAGCACGUUAUGGUGGGGACUCAGUGGAGACCGCCGGGGUCAACUCGGAGGAAGGUGGGGAUGACGUCAAGUCAUCAUGCCCCUUAUGUCCAGGGCUUCACGCAUGCUACAAUGGCUGGUACAGAGAGUGGCGAGCCUGUGAGGGUGAGCGAAUCUCGGAAAGCCGGUCUCAGUUCGGAUUGGGGUCUGCAACUCGACCUCAUGAAGUCGGAGUCGCUAGUAAUCGCAGAUCAGCAACGCUGCGGUGAAUACGUUCCCGGGGCUUGUACACACCGCCCGUCAAGUCAUGAAAGUUGGUAACACCCGAAGCCGGUGGCCUAACCGUUGUGGGGGAGCCGUCGAAGGUGGGACUGGUGAUUAGG
rnacentral:rRNA from 1 species